rnacentral:lncRNA from 1 species
GGAAUGUUUUUCUUUCCCUCUGGGUACACAGUUUCAUUUAGCUUAAGAGAGAAGGCCUAAAAAAAAGUUCCUAUCAGGCUCUGAACAUCAGCUUCCAGUCUGGCCAAGUUCUGACCAUAGAGCUACUUAAAAAAUCCUUUCAAAUAUCUUGUCAAGUUUUAGCCACUAUGAAUGAGUGGAAAGGCAGUUCACAUAGAGGAUGAGUCGACUGUGAGGACUCAGGUAAAGGAGGAUCAAGGGGAGCAGCAGGAGCCAGUGACCGCCCUGGAAAUGAACUUGAAGCAGAGCUUGAAAAUGGAGAAAAGAUUAACACCCCAACAGACGGAUGUCUGUUUCCUUCCAAAGUUUGGGCACCGUUCCAGGGUUUCAACACCGCUCUCUGUCUUCCAGGACGAUUUCAUGUCAUACUGUUGGUUUUCACGAGCCAUGAAGCACACAAGUCCAGGUCACAGAUGGGUGGUCACAGUGAGCCAUGCUUCCAGUUCCAGGAUCUCACUUGGCCAGGAUGAUGGAUGGGUGCGUAGGGAAGACUGAACUUCACCUUUCCAGAGGCCACCACGGACCGGGCUAAACCAAGCCGAGAUUAAAAACAAACUCGCAUGAACCGUGUUAUAAUAACAGUAACAAGAAUUUGGGGGGAAAAAAAAGCACCCAGAAUCCCAAUGUACC